rnacentral:lncRNA from 1 species
AAAAAAAAGCUAUGCAUUAGCUAUAUGAGCUAAUUCAUACUAUUGUAUGUAUAAGUUAUCCAUACUUGUUCCAGCAGAGUAACAUAACUAAGCAUCUUCUCAUUAUGUAAAAUCUGCCUCUAUACUCUUUGAUCGUGCCCAUGCAUCUCCUUCCAAAUCUCCAACAAUCUUUCUUACCUCCUUUUGAUCCAAAUGAUGAACCCAUUUCUUUA